GCCAACUUGUGGGAAUUUCAUUGAGGGCUACUGAAAGAAGUAAUUCAGUGAAGCUUGCUUGGUUGCAAGCUGAAUUUCUUUUAUUAAUAAUACCAGAAAGUGGAUGCAGGAUAUACAACAAAGUACAAACUGAUGAUGUCUCUCAACAAGAAGGAAAACAAUAAAGCAUCUUUGAGAAUUUACAUAAAACCAAGGAGAACAUGAUUUACUAGUGGAUUUUACAACAAUUAUUAUCCACGACUGGAACAACAAUAGUAUAUAUCUUAUUAAACCAUGGUAGCAAAUUCGGGCAUGAUAUUUGCAAGUGGUUCACAAUCACAUGAUGGAACAAGUAUCAGAAUGGCAUGGAUCAUAAACCACCUGGCAAU
rnacentral:lncRNA from 1 species